GUGGCCUAAUGGUUAAGGCGUUGGUUUUCGGCACCAAAGAUUUGUGCGUUCGAAUCGUAAGUAUUAUCU